UACGUAGGGGGCUAGCGUUGUCCGGAAUCAUUGGCGUAAAGCGCGUGUAGGCGGCCCGGUAAGUCCGCUGUGAAAGUCGGGGGCUCAACCCUCGGAUGCCGGUGGAUACUGUCGGGCUCGAGUACGGAAGAGGCGAGUGGAAUUCCCGGUGUAGUGGUGAAAUGCGUAGAUAUCGGGAAGGAACACCAGUGGCGAAGGCGGACUACCCUGGCCUGUUCGUUGACGCUGAGGCGCGAAAGCUAGGGAGCAAACGGG
rnacentral:rRNA from 1 species